GGCGAAUGUGGGCCCCAUUCUCGAACCGCCGCCGCCGCCGCGCCGAUCCCCAUCUCCGAAUCGCAUGGGGCGUCGUCGGCGCUAGGGUUUCGCCUCCGCUCCGCCGCCGCCGUGAUGCCUUCGCGAGAGAAGCCGACGAGCAAUCCGCGGUAAGCCUUGCAUUCCCGUCCCGGCGGUGGCGGCGCCAGUUCGCCUUGGUGUUUGUGCGGUGGAGGAGGAGGGGGAGAUAGGGCAGGAUUCGUUAGGUUAGGGUUUCGUUUCUCUCCAGCCGGAUUUCCCCCCGCGGAAGCGGCCGCAAACGAGAGCGGCGACCCCGCGUAGCACACCGGAGAAACCUUAGGUUCCGUCUCGAGGCGGUGGUUGUGUCGUGUCGCGUUUGGGCGUCGGAGAUGGAGAUGCGUUGGUGUGGGUGAACGCGGGGUCUCACUCCACAGCUCCCACGUUGAGCCAUCGUAAUGGAGCUUGGUGCGCUGGGAAAUCGCCGGGUAGGUCUCGGAUCGGAGGAACCUGCUAGAAGAUGAGUAAGAAGGCAAGUAUAGGGAAAAAUAUUACUGCAUAUGGGUGGCCCAUCUGUAAGAGGAUUUAGUUUGCUGCUAACUGUCUUUAAUUGCUCUAGCUAUAAUCUGUUCUUGUAUAUCAAUGCAUAGUUUGUACACCAAAGAGGGAACAUGUUAUGGCGCUCUGCAGUUAUGCUGCUGCUGUUCAUUAUUUUCAUAUCCAUCUUUAACGUGGUAGCUCAGAUCUUCUUUUUGACUUUUUGUUUACACAAUAUCGUCAUUUGCCCCACCCUUCCAUCCUUGUUAUUACUAGUUUAGUUCAUUAACAUGCCAUAUUUUUUUAGGAGAUGUUUUUGCUGCCUCCGUUCCUGUUUUUGUGUGAGUACAUGUGGAGUAGUUUUUAGUUUGCUAUCUUUGCUCAAGUUUAUCUGUUCUCUUUACUUAAGUUAGAACCAAAUUGGUAGCAUAUUGAGAUUAUGGUUUGGGUUUCUUUUAUCAAGAAAGUUUUGAUACUAAAACCAUUGUUUUUUGCGGCUUUUUUAAAAUGAACAAUUUGGUUUGCUGCCAUGAUAUGUGGAUUAAUAAAAACGCCAUUUCCUAUCUGUUUUGAAAUUUCUUCAGUGGCUGAUUCUUUGCUGAACAAUAGUACAACACUCGGGCUUGGAAUUCUUGGGGUGAAAGUUGAUAUCAAUGUGCAUUUGUUCUUUGAAGGUUUAUAUUAAGUUGCAGUUAUGUUAUAGGCAUAUGUCACUGAAUCAGUAAAUCAGUACUUUAUAGGUCCAUAUCCGAAUGACAUGAUAUCAUAGUCACUGCCUAACAUCUGUGAUAGUUUCAUGGUAACUAUGAAAUAAUAGCAUUUGCUAAUAUUCAGACCUCAGAAACCCAUAUUCUUAUUACUGAUUACUUUUAUGAGAAACCCAAGGCUUGGCUCAUCCAAAAUAGGUGUGUUAACUAUUGCUACUUCAGGCUUCCCUUUGUUGUGUUGUGUUUAGGUAUUUCUCUGUCUGCCAUUUCCUUUCUAAUUUGAUAUGUCGUUCUUCUGAUAAUUUAGUUCUGUAUAAAUUGCCCCUGUUUUAUCUCUUGACAUUAUGCUCAUUUGAAAUGAACAAAAAAAAGUUUAAAUGGAUUUAUGAUAUUUUCAUUUUAAUGGCAUCCUUUUCUAAAAUCUUGUCCUGUAUGAUCAUUGUUGUUUCUUCCAACUUUCCAAGCACAUUGGUUAAUGAACUAUUAGUUGAUUGUUCAAACUGAUCAUAAAAUAUCUUUUUAAACCAUCUUGUGCUGUGUAUGAUCGCUCUUGUAUCCUUCAUGCAAGUUAAUUAACGAACUGUAAUUCGUGGUUCAAAUUGAUCAUAAAAUAUAAUUUUAAACUA